UACGGGGGGGGGCAAGCGUUGUUCGGAAUUACUGGGCGUAAAGGGCUCGUAGGCGGCCAACUAAGUCAGACGUGAAAUCCCUCGGCUUAACCGGGGAACUGCGUCUGAUACUGGAUGGCUUGAGGUUGGGAGAGGGAUGCGGAAUUCCAGGUGUAGCGGUGAAAUGCGUAGAUAUCUGGAGGAACACCGGUGGCGAAGGCGGCAUCCUGGACCAAAUCUGACGCUGAGGAGCGAAAGCCAGGGGAGCAAACGGG
rnacentral:rRNA from 1 species